rnacentral:lncRNA from 1 species
GUUGGCCAAAGGAGCACUUCAGAGGUGAGCAGUGCCUAUCCUCUGAGGACGUGACAGCAGCUGCCCUGGCCAUUGGGAGCCAGCUGUCCGGGUGUUUUGCAUCAGCCAGAUAUGGGGAUGCGAAGCCACACGCAUGUAUUUUCUGCUCCACCUGGUCUCCUAUCUGUAGCCCAACGGGGGACGUGUCUGUGAGCCUUCGGGAGACUCAGCCCCAGCAGCAUCGUUUGGGUGUGGGCAGGAGUUCAGUGCUCCCAGCUCAGGCCGCCGUCACCCGGGGACGAGCAUCAGCCUUUCGUGAUGGGCUGUGGGACCAGCGACCUCUGCUGCUGCAACAC